AGGGCAGUAGCUCUAACGGUAGAGCAACGGACUCCAAAUCCGUAGGUUGUGGGUUCGAAUCCCUCCUGCCCUGCCA
rnacentral:tRNA from 1 species